GAGUUUGAUCAUGGCUCAGAUUGAACGCUGGCGGCAUGCCUUACACAUGCAAGUCGAACGGCAGCACGGGAGCUUGCUCCUGGUGGCGAGUGGCGAACGGGUGAGUAAUGCAUCGGAACGUAUCCUGGAGUGGGGGAUAACGUAGCGAAAGUUACGCUAAUACCGCAUAUUCUGUGAGCAGGAAAGCGGGGGACCUUCGGGCCUCGCGCUCUUGGAGCGGCCGAUGUCGGAUUAGCUAGUUGGUGAGGUAAAGGCUCACCAAGGCGACGAUCCGUAGCAGGUCUGAGAGGAUGAUCUGCCACACUGGAACUGAGACACGGUCCAGACUCCUACGGGAGGCAGCAGUGGGAAUUUUGGACAAUGGGGGCAACCCUGAUCCAGCCAUGCCGCGUGAGUGAAGAGGGCCUCGGUU
rnacentral:rRNA from 1 species